rnacentral:lncRNA from 1 species
UGUCUGUGUCACUUUAUGUUAUUCCUCAAAAUUACAGUUGGCAUUUCUGAUCAAUUCACCUUUAUUGCCAUGUGUACAGUCUCUUAUAUUCGUAAGAUGACUUUUGUUUAUCUCUUAAAUCUAUUUUGAUGAAAUGCUCAUCAAAUCAUCUUUUUUAGUAAGACAAAACGGUUGCUUCAACUUAAAUCUGUGAACUAGUAGUCUUCUUUUGCAUAUCAAGGCUAUAGCAAACAUCUUGACAACAUUGAAACCAUUUCUAAUGUUUACAUGAGAUAUGUUUUAGCAUUUUAAAUAUUUACAUUUCAAAAUUAUUGCAACAAAUAAAUAGUGUUGAUGUUUAUUUGCGUCAAAAAAAUGACAUGUUAGACCUUAUUGCAGAUCUCCAGAUAUAAUCCAUAUGUUUCCAUGGUAACCAUUUUCAUUGCCAGAUUUAAGUUGAACUUAAACUUUAGUCUAUAUAAUGCCAUUAUAAUUCUCAAAUUGUUUUAAUCUUGUUUUUUUUCUAAAUUUGCAGAUUUUACAAAUUUUUACAAUUUUUCGCUAAAUAUUGCAAUUUUGAAAGCCCCGUUUCCAUAGCAACAGACCUAUUAUUUGUCAUUAAGUUGAAUUUC